rnacentral:tRNA from 1 species
GCCGACGUAGCUCAGUUGGUAGAGCGCAUCCAUGGUAAGGAUGAGGUCGCCAGUUCAAUCCUGGCCGUCGGCUCAA